rnacentral:sRNA from 1 species
CGCCCCCGAGGCCCUACGGGCGUGGCCUCUGCCCCGGGUCCCGCCCCCCAGCACUCCGGAACGGCGCGCUCGCAGCGGUAGGUCGCGAAGCCUGGGACUGUGUCUGUCGCCCAUGGCCGCCGCGCUGCUCGCCCGGGCCUCGGGCCCUGUCCGCAGAGCUCUCUGUCCUAGGGCCUGGCGGCAGUUACACACCAUCUACCAGUCUGUGGAACUGCCCGAGACACACCAGAUGUUGCUCCAGACAUGCCGGGACUUUGCCGAGAAGGAGUUGUUUCCCAUUGCAGCCCAGGUGGAUAAGGAACAUCUCUUCCCAGCGGCUCAGGUGAAGAAGAUGGGCGGGCUUGGGCUUCUGGCCAUGGACGUGCCCGAGGAGCUUGGCGGUGCUGGCCUCGAUUACCUGGCCUACGCCAUCGCCAUGGAGGAGAUCAGCCGCGGCUGUGCCUCCACCGGAGUCAUCAUGAGUGUCAACAACGUGAGCCCCCUCCCAGGCCCCUGGGACACACGGGUGGAGGGAGGCUCCCGUGAGCGGGCAGGCUCUGGCCUCGGCUCCCAGCCCUGAUCUCUCUGGAGACGUCACAGGCCUUGGUCCUACUGGGUAGGCCCUGGACAGAACAGGCCCUGAGGUGCAGCCCGCAGGUGGGCAGGAUGCGCCUGGGCCUGGGGCCUCCGACCGCUCCCCGCUGUCCUCCUAGUCUCUCUACCUGGGGCCCAUCUUGAAGUUUGGCUCCAAGGAGCAGAAGCAGAAGUGGGUCACGCCUUUCACCAGUGGUGACAAAAUUGGCUGCUUUGCCCUCAGCGAACCAGGUACCUGCCCUGUCCCCUCACCUGUCCUUAGGGUGACAGGCCCAGAGGGGGAGGAGAGGAAGGUGCUAGGCCAACUGCCCACUGCUUCGGAGGCCAGAGGGGAGGCUCCCCAUGUGGUUGGUGGGGUGAGCGCUCUUGCCACCGCGGCGCUGGGAGGAAGAUUGCCUUGGGGGUCCCCUGGUUUAAGACGCCAGCUCCUGCACACCCCCCUCGCCCUCUGGGCCCAUCACUGAGAGCUUUGGGACCCUCAUCUUUGGAGCCCGAGUCAUAGGGUUUCGUGUCUGCCAGCAGGGGUGUGGAGGGAGUGAGGCUGGUGUCCUUAGGUUGUGUGGGGUGGGG